rnacentral:rRNA from 1 species
UACAGAGGUCUCAAGCGUUGCUCGGAUUGACUGGGCGUAAAGGGCGCGUAGGCGGUUCGUACAGUCAGACGUGAAAUUCCUGGGCUCAACCUGGGGGCUGCGUUUGAUACGUGCGGACUUGAGUGCGGAAGAGGGUCGUGGAAUUCCCAGUGUAGAGGUGAAAUUCGUAGAUAUUGGGAAGAACACCGGUGGCGAAGGCGGCGACCUGGUCCGAUACUGACGCUGAGGCGCGAAAGCGUGGGGAGCAAACAGG